GAUGAACGCUGGCGGCGUGCCUAAUACAUGCAAGUCGAGCGAACAGACGAGGAGCUUGCUCCUCUGACGUUAGCGGCGGACGGGUGAGUAACACGUGGAUAACCUACCUAUAAGACUGGGAUGACUUCGGGAAACCGGAGCUAAUACCAGAUAACAUGUUGAACCGCAUGGUUCAACAGUGAAAGACGGUCUUGCUGUCACUUAUAGAUGGAUCCGCGCCGCAUUAGCUAGUUGGUAAGGUAACGGCUUACCAAGGCAACGAUGCGUAGCCGACCUGAGAGGGUGAUCGGCCACACUGGAACUGAGACACGGUCCAGACUCCUACGGGAGGCAGCAGUAGGGAAUCUUCCGCAAUGGGCGAAAGCCUGACGGAGCAACGCCGCGUGAGUGAUGAAGGUCUUCGGAUCGUAAAACUCUGUUAUAGGGAAGAACAAAUGUGUAAGUAACUAUGCACGUCUUGACGGUACCUAAUCAGAAAGCCACGGCUAACUACGUGCCAGCAGCCGCGGUAAUACGUAGGUGGCAAGCGUUAUCCGGAAUUAUUGGGCGUAAAGCGCGCGUAGGCGGUUUUCUAAGUCUGAUGUGAAAGCCCACGGCUCAACCGUGGAGGGUCAUUGGAAACUGGAAAACUUGAGUGCAGAAGAGGAAAGUGGAAUUCCAUGUGUAGCGGUGAAAUUCGCAGAGAUAUGGAGGAACACCAGUGGCGAAGGCGACUUUCUGGUCUGUAACUGACGCUGAUGUGCGAAAGCGUGGGGAUCAAACAGGAUUAGAUACCCUGGUAGUCCACGCCGUAAACGAUGA
rnacentral:rRNA from 1 species